rnacentral:rRNA from 1 species
UACAUGGGGUGCAAACGUUGCUCGGAAUUAUUGGGCGUAAAGCGCACGUAGGCGGUCCGUUAAGUCAGAUGUGAAAGCCCCCGGCUCAACCGGGGAAGUGCAUCUGAAACUGGCGGGCUAGAGUACGAAAGAGGGUCGCGGAAUUCCCGGUGUAGAGGUGAAAUUCGUAGAUAUCGGGAGGAACACCAGUGGCGAAGGCGGCGACCUGGGCCAAUAUUGACGCUGAGGUGCGAAAGCGUGGGGAGCAAACAGG